AUUGAACGCUGGCGGCAUGCUUUACACAUGCAAGUCGAACGGUAACAGGCCUUCGGGUGCUGACGAGUGGCGAACGGGUGAGUAAUGCAUCGGAACGUGCCCAGAGGUGGGGGAUAACGCAGCGAAAGCUGUGCUAAUACCGCAUGUGAUCUGAGGAUGAAAGCGGGGGACCAAGCAGCAAUGUUUGGCCUCGUGCCUCUGGAGCGGCCGAUGUCAGAUUAGGUAGUUGGUGGGGUAAAGGCCUACCAAGCCGACGAUCUGUAGCUGGUCUGAGAGGACGACCAGCCACACUGGGACUGAGACACGGCCCAGACUCCUACGGGAGGCAGCAGUGGGGAAUUUUGGACAAUGGGCGCAAGCCUGAUCCAGCAAUGCCGCGUGCGGGAAGAAGGCCUUCGGGUUGUAAACCGCUUUUGUACGGAACGAAAAGGCUCUGGCUAAUACCUGGGGCUGAUGACGGUACCGUAAGAAUAAGCACCGGCUAACUACGUG
rnacentral:rRNA from 1 species